GGUAAGAUGGCUGAGGGACAAGCGGUGGACUGUAGUUCCGCAAACAGAGGUUUAAGUCCUCUUCUUAUCA
rnacentral:tRNA from 1 species